rnacentral:rRNA from 1 species
AAAAAUCGGCAAAAUGGCCCCGUAACUUCGGGAGAAGGGGUGCCACCGCGAGGUGGUCGCAGUGAAGAGGCCCAGGCGACUGUUUACCAAAAACACAGGUCUCCGCUAAGUCGCAAGACGAUGUAUGGGGGCUGACGCCUGCCCAGUGCCGGAAGGUUAAGGAAGCUGGUCAGCGCAAGCGAAGCUGGCGACUGAAGCCCCGGUGAACGGCGGCCGUAACAAUAACGGUCCUAAGGUAGCGAAAUUCCUUGUCGGGUAAGUUCCGACCCGCACGAAAGGCGUAACGAUCUGGGCGCUGUCUCGGAGAGAGGCUCGGCGAAAUAGAAUUGUCUGUGAAGAUGCGGACUACGUGCACCCGGACAGAAAGACCCUAUGAAGCUUUACUGUAGCUUGGUAUUGUGCUCGGGCUCGGAAUGCGCAGGAUAGGUGGGAGGCUUUGAUCCAUUGCUUGCGGGUGAUGGUGAGCCACUGGUGAGAUACCACUCUUUCCGAGCUAGAGUUCUAACAGCAACCCGUUAUCCGGGUGCUGGACAGUAUCAGGUGGGCAGUUUGACUGGGGCGGUCGCCUCCUAAAAGGUAACGGAGGCGCGCAAAGGUCUGCUCAGGCUGGUUGGAAAUCAGCCGACGAGUGUAAAAGCAGAAGCAGGCUUGACUGUGAGACCUACAAGUCGAACAGGGAGGAAACUCGGCUUUAGUGAUCCGACGGUUCUGCGUGGAAGGGCCGUCGCUCAACGGAUAAAAGUUACUCUAAGGAUAACAGGCUGAUCUCCCCCAAGAGUUCACAUCGACGGGGAGGUUUGGCACCUCGAUGUCGGCUCAUCGCAACCUGGGGCUGAAGUCGGUCCCAAGGGUUGGGCUGUUCGCCCAUUAAAGCGGUACGCGAGCUGGGUUCAGAACGUCGUGAGACAGUUCGGUCCAUAUCCGGUGCACGCGCAGGAAUAUUGAGAGGAUUUCUCCCUAGUACGAGAGGACCGGGAGGAACGCACCUCUGGUGUGCCAGUUAUCGUGCCAACGGUAAACGCUGGGUAGCCAUGUGCGGAGUGGAUAACCGCUGAAAGCAUCUAAGUGGGAAGCCCACCUCAAGAUGAGUAUUCCCAUGGCAUAAGCCAGUAAGGUCACGGGAAGAACACCCGUUGGUAGGCUCUACGUGGAAGCGCAGUAAUGUGUGAAGCGGAGGAGUACUAAUAGACCGAGGGCUUC